ACUAUGUACUGUAGGCACCAGAGGGCGGCAGCACCACAGAGUAAUCUGGAAAGAUGGGAGGAGGAGUUUAGUGUUUGGUACUCUGUGUCCUCCCUCAUAGGUCUCUAGGCGUCUCCACCCCUUCACCCUCUCUGCCCAGGUCACUGCAAGAAUGUUCUCCAGCCCUAAUGUACUUCAGAUACGCAUUCUUGACUCCACAGUCCAAGGUGGGGGCCUGGGUGAUCAUAAUUAUUCUGGUCAAAUAGGAAUAGCAGUAAAGAGAUAGAGAAACAUCUACACUAGAGAUAGGCAUUAGGAAAAUAUUACCCAGACAGGGAAGGGAAAGGGUUUUUGUGUGUCCUGGUGAUGGGGAAGAAAGCUACUGAGUUCCCCAUUUUUUCAAAGGGAAGUGAAAAAUCACUAAGUAGCCUCCGAGCAUGUUGGGCAGAGGUGAUUGGGGUUCCGUCCAGGGGAGCUGGUGCUGUUCCAGAGAGAUCUCCCCUGCGUAGUGCCUGACAGAGAAGCCAGGGCUUUCCUGGGAACACUCUGAGACAGAACACACAGCACAAAGGGCUUAUCAAAGGUGACCUGUAGUGGUCACCACUACAGGAAAGAACAUCCGACGGGAGGGAGCCAGAACUGGUUGUGCUCAUGGUGUGAAUAUCAGGGCUAGAAUAACAAUUGCCUUGUGCGAGCUGCAGUGGGGCUGCGUGACAAGUUCAGAUGUCCCUGGGGUGGUAGGUCAUCCACAUCAAAAUGAUCUCUCUGCUCUGAUGGUUAAAUGUCUCCUUUGGAACGAUGAGGCCAAAGAGCCAGAACAAUGCAGGCUGCCCAUCCCCAGGGGAGCCUCGGGAGAGAUGUUCCCACUGGGUGGGUGGUUGUUCCCCUCACACCCUGUCCCCUCCGUGAUCUGUCCUGAGUCAGGCUCCUUCCUCUGGGACUUCAGAUUCAUCCCGUCCCUGCAUCGCUGCCCACGUGUCCCUGGGAGGGCAGCCCCCAACAGGAAGGUGUCUCAGGCCACCAGCUGCAGGAAUGCCGGGGCGCCGUGGACCCCAGAGGCAAAGACUCCUCGAUAAAGGGAAGGUCAGUUCAAGAAGCCCAGGGCUGCCGAGCCCAUCGUGGGUCCCUCGGCUCAGGGCUGCAUGAGCGCCAAAAACUGUGGGAAGAAAUCCAGUCUCUUCAUGUGAUUCCCAAAGGUACCCUUGACUCCAGAAUGAUGGCAGUCUAAAGAGCCCCAUCUGGCUCUCUAGGGUAAGGAUGGGUGAUUUCCCAAGAAACAGUUGCUCUGGAACCAUUUCCUGCGACUUUCAAGCUCCCACGUGCUCUGAGGGGAUUUCCACUAUGCCCUAUGCUGGAGCUUAUGAGUGGGAGAAAGGCAUCAAGAGACAUUUUUAGGAUUUUGAAACAUGAUCUCUUCGUUCUAACCAUCUCCGGAUGAGAGACAAGAGACUCUCCUCCUCUCUGCUGUGCUGCUGCUGGCUUCAUGCUUCACCUUUAGGGCGCCAGUGCGGCUGAAUAUCUUCAGAAAAGCCAGAGGUUUUAUUUUUCUCUCUCUCCUUCCCUUUCUCUCUUUCUUCCUAUUUUUCUUUUGCUUAUCUUCUUAAUACCGAGGUAUAGGUAGUCUUUAUUUUUUUAAUGUUUAUUUAUUUUUGAGUGAGAGAGAGAGUGGGAGUAGGGGAGAGGCAGAGAGUGGGGAACAGAAGAUGCGAAGCAGGCUCUGCACUGCGCUGACAGCAGCGUGCCCGAGGAGGGGCUCAAACCCACAGACCAGACCGUGAGAUCACGACCAGAUCUGCAGUCAGAUGCUCAACUGAUUGGGCCACCCAGCCACCCCAAAGGCAAAGGUUUCCUUAAACAUAAGGCGAACUUCAACAGACACAGAGACAACCAGACUUAGGAGCUCCCCAACUUGCUCCUCUAAAGUGUCUGCCUCCUCAUCAGUUUUCCUUGUUUUAUGGAUAAUUUUUUAAAGUCUCAUGCUAAUUUUUUUAAAGUCAGUUCUAUGUCGGCCUUGCCCUCAUGACUGCAGAUCAAGAGUCUCAUGCUCCAGGCCGUCGCCAUCUUCUCCCCUCCUUCCUUUUUUAUGUUGAAGGCACAUCUUAGGCUCUUCAGCUCUCUUGAAUGUGUUGAUCUGCCCCCCCUUCCACACUGCUGCCUCCUCUACUCCUCUUUCCUUCCCUGCCCGGCCCUUCCCCUCCCACCUUCGCCCCUCAUCUCUGGAGAGUCAUUGGAGCUUUGAGCAUCCUCCCCACUGUGGACUCUUGAGGGGCUCAGAGACCCCUCGAGCAACCAUCUGGGGCGGAAACAGGCUGACGGGGAACAGGAAACAGAGCUCACCACCGACCCUGUGUACUUGUCACACCCCGAGCUUUUUCUUUGAAGGCAGGAAGUUCUCAAGGGCCCCAGGCUUCUUCACCCCAGUUUCUCCCUUAAAGAAAUCUAUCACACUUCAUCUCCCGGAGACAGGAGUAGAAGGCCAACAAGGUGGUCACAAUGGCAGGGGAGAAAUUGAGGAAGACUAGCCAGUGGAAAUUCAUGAGUAUUUCUCCACAUUUGAGAAUUCCAUUGGUGUGUGGAUGAGAUGCCGAAGACCAUGAUGUCUGUUUCUUUAAUUUUUUUUUCAACGUUUAUUUAUUUUUGGGACAGAGAGAGACAGAGCACGAACGGGGGAGGGGCAGAGAGAGAGGGAGACACAGAAUCGGAAGCAGGCUCCAGGCUCUGAGCCAUCAGCCCAGAGCCUGACGCGGGGCUCGAACUCCCGGACCGCGAGAUCGUGACCUGGCUGAAGUCGGAUGCUUAACCGACUGCGCCACCCAGGCGCCCCCAUGAUGUCUGUUUCUAGAAACCAGUUGUUGCAGAGGUUGGGCCCCCUUCAACAAGCAAAAGUGGAUUUCGCUUCUGCUUACACAUGCAAUUCAGUGUUUGGGGUUGAUUUGGCAACUCAGGGAGUUUUUAUCCUAUGAACAUCCAGUAAAGCAGGAAUUGGAAAGAAUCACGGUAUCCGUGAACAGAGUCAGGGAAAUAAGAGACAAGAAAAUGGCCGGCAAACUGGACAGAGGUGCAGCUUUGGGAUUUGUGGAAAAUCCCCUUUGGAAACCAAAACGGAAAAGUGCCUCCAAGGUUGCCAGAAAAGGAAAAAGUAAAAACGAAAAAAAAAAAAAAAAAAAAGAAAAAAGUGAACCGUGUAGUUUUGAUGUCCAUAUAUUGAAAACGUACAUCAUUUUUAUGGUUUUCCACAAAGUCAAAGAUUAUGUGGCAAUACAAGGUUUACAUGUAUUCUGCAAUUCAUAUGUAAAAUGUACAUUUUGAAUUUAUUUGUAAAACUAAAUACUUUUCCCCAGAAAGAUUAUGUUAUCUUUAUUGAUUUUCCCAUAGAGCACUAUGAAGUUUUUAACAUUGUGGUAUAGUUUAUAUUUAUAGUUUAUUACCUAUCUUGACAGGACUCUUAUGUUCCUGUACAGGUCAACCAUUUAAUAAGCAACCAUGAAAUUUAAGUUAAAUGUUCUUUGUAAACAUUUGUCUAUUUUCAAUGAAUAAUGAUUUUGUGAAGUAUGCCAUCUGAAGACUGAAGUUAUAAAUACACCUGUUUUUGUUAUGUAAUAUUAAGAAGACUUAAAUGUGCACUUUUUCCUAUGUAGUUACUUCAUCCUUCUUUCAUGAUUUGGGGAAUUGUUGCUUUUGUUGAUAUUUGAAUCGUGAAAUUAAGACUCUCGAGUGCUAUUUUCAUUCUUGGAAAUUUGAUUCGAUGUCCCAUUUAAGGUAGAAUAUGUUCUCACUCACUUUAGAAAGGAAAUGAGGUUGUAUAUUGAUGGCUGAAUUUUGGCAGAAGAGCCACACUCUGUGAAAAAAAGGCUGUAAAGCUUGUAUAGCCGAGUGCUUAUUUUUCUCUGUUGUGUAAAUUUGCCUUGGAAAUUAGGAAGACAGCUUUUAGAAAUCAUUAGGAAUAGAAGUCAUUAGAAAUUAGAAACUCAUGAGGUUUUGUUCUUGUGCAUUCUGCCCAUAGUUCUCCUGGUCUCAUUUUUCAGGUUUUUUAAAUGCCAUGUUUUUGACGGGAUAUUAAGUACAUACAAGUAUUUUGAAACAAAUUCUUAUGUUAUAUUAUGUCACUCAAGGGGAAGAGGAAUCCAGAGGAGAUUAUAUACUGUUUAUAUUAUGAUUUAUUUUUCUGGAAUAUUGGAUACAGAGAAUUCUGUGUAUUACGAUUUUUAAUGUCUACGUGCUUGAAUUUCAAAUAUACGCUUCUAAUGUUUUUCAGUCUUUGAAACCACAUCAUUAUGUAUCAGAAUGCCACGUAGCAUCAAGGAUUUUGUUUUUGAAAAAGAGGUUGUUAAAAUUUUCUGUGGGAUUAAUACUCCGUAAGUAAACUUGAAUAAAUGGAUUUCUUGAUUUACGGUAGAAGCUAUUGGAAACGGUCUUACAUGUAACGGAUCGUGUAAAGCAUGUUGAACUCGUUCUGAGACACACGAAGAGGAAGUCACUGAUAGACACAGAGUCCUCUGGCUCAGAUGUCAGAUGAUUUUUGAAAUGGAAGGACACUGGGAGUUACUUCGUUCCUUUUUCACCUUCGUCUUCUGAAAUUUCUAGCUGUUUUGAAAACGUAAUUUCUUCAUGACAGAAAUACAUGUUCUUAUGACCAAGUGUAAAAAUAAGAAAGAAAUCGAUUCCAACUGAUACUAAAAAACACACAACAUUGACUUUACUACCAUCAAUCCUUAACCGGUGGAUAGGUCAGUGGCGGUAUAUAGAUUUUCAGUGUUGCACAGCACGUCUCUAGCACGAGUUCAUUUUGUGACUGAAAAUCUACAUCCACAGCUCCGUGUUCCCUCCUCCCCACCCUGACCGGAAGUACAGUUCUCUCUGAUUUGACACAUUUGACUAGUUUACAUACCUCACAUAAGUGGAAUCUUAGGCUAGUUUUCUUGCUGUGACGUGCUUAGAUCACUUAGCAGCGAGUCCAGAAUGACCUUCUUGUCGAAGACUGGACAACACUGCAGUGUGGACACAAGCCCCUUUCUUCACCCACGCCUCUGUCUGUGCACCUGGGGCUGCUUCUACCUCCUGAGUCCUGGGAAUUGCACAGCAAUGAACGGGGAUGUGCAAGUGUCUCUUCCAAACUUGCUUUCAAUUCUUAUGGGUAUAAAAUCAGAAGGGAGACUGCAACAUUGUACGGUGAGACAAGCUGAGUGUCAUCGUCAGAAAGAAGGCAGCUGACAGUUCACUGCCAACGUGACUCUUUUCUCCAGAUGAUACUUCCUUGUGACCCAAGCCAGUGCGGUCCCCAGAAACCCAGAGUGAAUUCCAUAUUAUCUGAUAGAACGUCUUACACUUGGACUCAGAGACUCAGUAUAUUCAAGCAUGAGGAAUUGGAAACAAAAGAUAAUCAGGAGAAAAUGUAGUUUGGAUUAUUUUAUUCUACUCAGACCCAUAAAGUAGAGACAUGCAAGAAAUAUCAGUUGAACACAGGAAACAAAGACAAGGGAAGGAUGCAAGUGGUUAAUAGUCACCUGACCAGUGACUCUGACUCCUUAGCUUCAAUGGAUAGCACCGUGCUGGCCACCAGCAGGGUGGCCAGGAAACAGCGUCCCAGGCUGUGGCUCAGGAAGGGGCUGUUGCAGGUGGGACCUCACUCCGGUCCAUGUGCUCUGUCAGCUGUCCCACUGCCCACUCAACUCCAUCCCCACCUAGUCUGGAGACCUCCCAGCCCAGGAGAACACCAUGCGGACUGUGUCCUGCUGGACGGACUGAUCCUCUCCUCCCACUCCCCUCUGGCCUGUCACAGAAGCUGGGAUCCAGCUGAACCAGUGCUCCCCGGCCCCUCUUGGCCACCUUAACUGCACAUGUAAUUCAAACGUUCACUUCUGGUCUUCACACAGGCUCAGCCUGCACACAUCUCCUUCUUCUAUUAAAGGUCUUUCCCUACACCUGGCUGCUGAAGCAAGAA